UACGGGGGGGGGCAAGCGUUUGUUCGGAAUUACUGGGCGUAAAGGGCUCGUAGGCGGCCAACUAAGUCGGAUGUGAAAUCCCCAAGCUUAACUUGGGAACUGCAUCCGAUACUGGAUGGCUUGAAUCCGGGAGAGGGAUGCGGAAUUCCAGGUGUAGCGGUGAAAUGCGUAGAUAUCUGGAGGAACACCGGUGGCGAAGGCGGGUCUCUGGGCCGGUAACUGACGCUGAGGAGCGAAAGCAUGGGGAGCGAACAGG
rnacentral:rRNA from 1 species